AUUGAACGCUGGCGGCAUGCUUUACACAUGCAAGUCGAACGGCAGCGCGGGCUUCGGCCUGGCGGCGAGUGGCGAACGGGUGAGUAAUGCAUCGGAACGUGCCCAGUAGUGGGGGAUAGCCCGUCGAAAGCCGGAUUAAUACCGCAUACGACCUGAGGGUGAAAGAGGGGGAGCGAAAGGCCUCGCGCUAUUGGGGGGGUCGAUGUCGGGUUGGUUAGUUGGUGGGGUAAAGGCUUACCAAGGCGACGAUCCGUAGCUGGUCUGAGAGGGCGAGUAGCCACAUUGGGAGGGAGCCACGGCCCAGACUCCUACGGGAGGCAGCAGUGGGGAAUUUUGGGCAAUGGGGGCAACCCUGAUCCAGCCAUGCCGCGUGCGGGAAGAAGGCCUUCGGGUUGUAAACCGCUUUUGUUCGGGAAGAAAUCCUCUGGGCUAAUACCCCGGGGGGAUGACGGUACCGGAAGAAUAAGCACCGGCUAACUACGUG
rnacentral:rRNA from 1 species